GACGAACGCUGGCGGCGUGCUUAACACAUGCAAGUCGAACGGAAAGGCCCUGCUUUUGUGGGGUGCUCGAGUGGCGAACGGGUGAGUAACACGUGAGUAACCUGCCCUUGACUUUGGGAUAACUUCAGGAAACUGGGGCUAAUAACGGAUAGGAGCUCCUGCUGCAUGGUGGGGGUUGGAAAGUUUCGGCGGUUGGGGAUGGACUCGCGGCUUAUCAGCUUGUUGGUGGGGUAGUGGCUUACCAAGGCUUUGACGGGUAGCCGGCCUGAGAGGGUGACCGGCCACAUUGGGACUGAGAGACGGCCCAGACUCCUACGGGAGGCAGCAGUGGGGAAUAUUGCACAAUGGGCGGAAGCCUGAUGCAGCAACGCCGCGUGCGGGAUGACGGCCUUCGGGUUGUAAACCGCUUUCGCCUGUGACGAAGCGUGAGUGACGGUAAUGGGUAAAGAAGCACCGGCUAACUACGUG
rnacentral:rRNA from 1 species